rnacentral:tRNA from 1 species
GCUGGGGUAGCUCAGUGGUAGAGCACUUGCCCAGCAUGUGUGAGGAUUCCAUCCCCAGCA